rnacentral:lncRNA from 1 species
AAAUUUUGGAUGGGCAUGAGUUGUCACAUGGAGAGGGUGCGAGUCAAAUCUGAAUGCAUCCCAUUGCUAACUAUUUAAAGGAGGCUGCGUCGGGGAUUCAUUUCAUUCAGAUUUUCAGUUUCAUCUCUUUUUUCUUAUAUACUCUUUCUAUUAUCCAAUUAGUCGCUUCUUUUUCUUGUUAGGAUAAGUUCAAAAAUAGUAAGAACAAGUAUGAUUUUAGGAUAAGGGCC